GUCCACAAACAUAGAUGUAGAACUCUCGCGCUGCCUCUUUAUUUCCUGCUCGACUCAUUUCCUGUAAGAGAAAGUGAAAGUAACUAUUCUGUGACUUUGCUUCAGUCGCCAUUUUAACUGCGCAGCACGAGGACAGACUGAAGAGGAGGCUUGCUCUCUGUGCUGUGACAAUGUCACCUGCAGUGACCAGCUUGUGUAAGGGCAGCUGUAGCAUCACCUGUUUCUCCUUCAACACAGCUGCAGCUGUUGUGCUGCGGUGGAAAAACGUGACAACUGUCCUCACUCUGCCGAGGAGUCGGGACGUCUGGUGAACGCCCAUCGCUCUCUGCGCAGCCAGAUUAACGUAUAUGCGGUGAAAAUCCGGCCGCUUCGACAGCAUUGGCAAUGUUUCUGCCGUUAUCUGUUGUCACUUAAAGCACUUACAGCAAAUUGUGUGGGUCUUGUCGACUACACGAUUGCCGUCCUUUAGCUCCACCAUGUAGCCCAAAUGUUGCCAUACUGCUGACUGACAUGAAGAGGGAGGAUCCGCUAUUUCUGGGUUGGUUGCCAUGUUUCCUCACGUUCUUCAACUAGCUCAACUUUUGCAGGCAGGCGUCACAUGAUUCAUUGGAUCUGAACGGGAGGGAUCACUCUGGGAGUUGGAAGGGUUUUCUCUCGUGUGAUCACUGGACUGAAC